GAUGAACGCUGGCGGCGUGCCUAAUACAUGCAAGUCGAGCGAAUGGAUUAAGAGCUUGCUCUUAUGAAGUUAGCGGCGGACGGGUGAGUAACACGUGGGUAACCUGCCCAUAAGACUGGGAUAACUCCGGGAAACCGGGGCUAAUACCGGAUAACAUUUUGAACCGCAUGGUUCGAAAUUGAAAGGCGGCUUCGGCUUUCACUUCUGGAUGGACCCGCGUCGCAUUAGCUAGUUGGUGAGGUAACGGCUCACCAAGGCAACGAUGCGUAGCCGACCUGAGAGGGUGAUCGGCCACACUGGGACUGAGACACGGCCCAGACUCCUACGGGAGGCAGCAGUAGGGAAUCUUCCGCAAUGGACGAAAGUCUGACGGAGCAACGCCGCGUGAGUGAUGAAGGCUUUCGGGUCGUAAAACUCUGUUGUUAGGGAAGAACGAGUGCUAGUUGAAUAAGCUGGCACCUUGACGGUACUUAACCAGAAAGCCACGGCUAACUACGUGCCAGCAGCCGCCGUAA
rnacentral:rRNA from 1 species